CACGUAGGGCGCAAGCGUUGUCCGGAAUUAUUGGGCGUAAAGAGCUCGUAGGCGGUCUGUUGCGUCCGCUGUGAAAACCCGGGGCUUAACCCCUGGCUUGCAGUGGAUACGGACAGACUAGAGGUAGGUAGGGGAGAAUGGAAUUCCCGGUGUAGCGGUGAAAUGCGCAGAUAUCAGGAAGAACACCCGUGGCUAAGGCGGCUCUCUAGUACGGUACUGACGCUGAGACGCGAAAGCGUGGGGAGCGAUCCGG
rnacentral:rRNA from 1 species